CUAACACACCCAAACAGAACCAAAAUGACCCUCCAUUUUGGCCUUGCGUCUAACGCAUGGGGGCUGCGUCUAACGUACCCCAAACAGAGCCAAUUUGGGUCUCAACUCUCAAUUCUACCCCCUGCGUCACGCAUGAGGAGGUGCAUUCAACGCACCACAACCAAACACAAGUUUAGUGUGGAUGUGCGUCUAACGGAGGGGAAGAUGCGUCCAAUGCACACCUCCCUCUUUUUCUUUUGCAAUUACAUUUUUCUUUAAUUCCAUGCAUGCAUGCUUUCAUACUAUUUAGUUUUCAAUUUUUGUUUUUUCUCCUUUAUUUUUGUUUGAAUUUUGUUUGUCCUUUUUCCUUUACUAGCUUCGAAUCAUAUCCCCCCAUGCCCACCACUAGAUCUUAACUUUCAAACUCCACCCUCCAUUCAAUUCCCUCUUUUUUCCUAUAAAUAUACUGUUAGAAUUUUUAUUCUAAUCGUAGUCUAAUUUGUUAAUAUAAAAAUUAGUUUAGGUGGUGUUGUAAUUUUUGAUUAAUUAUAUUGGCAGUUGAUCUGUUCUUUGAUGAAAAGAACACGAUUGUUCAUAAACUUUAUAAAGUUUGGGUCCCCAAUUCUGAUUACAGAUAUAACAAAUAAACACACUUUGAUUUCAUCUCAUUCUAUGAUUCAAGAAUUGGAAGUUCCAAAUUAAAUCAAAGGAUUUAUUGGCAAUGGUCGGAGCAGUAAUGAUAUCUGAAACUGUAUCUGAAAUUCAUUUGUUAAGUGGUGACAACUAUAAAGAAAGGAAAGAUAAGAUUCUCUUUCACUUAGGGUGUGCAAACCUUGACUAUGCUCUUCGUAGGGAAGAGCCUCCGACACCUACUGAUGCUAGUUCUCAAGCCGAGGAAUGUCAACGAUUAUAUGAAGGCUAUUGAUGAACAGUUUGAGUCUUCUAGUAAGGCACUUGCAAGAACCCUAAUGGCACAACUGUCAUCUAUGAGGCUUACCGGUGUAAGAGAUGUGCGUGAACACAUCAUGAGGUUGAGAGACAUUGCAGCACAACUAAAAGCUUUAGAGGUUGAGAUCUCUGAUUCAUUUCUAGUGCAUCUUAUUCUAAAUUUUCUUCCUGUCCAGUACGGACCAUUUAAGAUUUCUUAUAACACACAUUAGAAAAAAUGGUCCAUUAACGAAUUACUAGUGAUGUGUGUGCAAGAGAAAGGAAGUCUAAUUCAGGACUUUGGUGAAAGUGCACUAUUAGUGACAAAUGAGGGUGGUAAAAAGCAAGCUCAUAAGAAGAAAGGAAAGGGUAUUGUAUCCCAUUCUAUGAAGAAAGAAGGUGCACGGUGUUUCUUUUGUGAAAAGAAAGGACACAUGAAGAAGGAGUGCCCAAAAUUUAAAGUUUGGCUUGAAAAGAAAGGAUUUCAUAAGGAAAAUGAAACUGAUAGGAAGUGAACUAAGCAUCUAUAUGAGCAAUCGGAUGCGUUCACGUGUGAAAGCUGUUGGAACAUUUAGGCUUGUAUUAAGUACUGGUUGUAUUUUAGAUUUAGAAAAAA